rnacentral:lncRNA from 1 species
UCCACCCGCCCACCGAUACCACGUUCCCAGGGAAAGGAGAGAUAUUGGGACCAUUAGUUGCGAUCCAUAAAUCACGGGCGUUUCCUGGCUCCUCUUUGCUGUACUAUAAAGAGUAGAGGGGAGGGGGGGGGGGGGGGGGGGGGGGGGGGCGAAGGAAGAGAGAGAAAUGGCAGCCAGCAAGCAAGCAAAACGCGAGAGCCACUUUCAAAGGGUAGGAAGGAGGCAGAGCGUGGAUGUCCUGUGAAUUUUUUACAGGAUGGCAAAAAGGUUCAGGAUCCUGGUUGGAAGCCUCCCAUCGUUCGGGCCUCUGAGCUCAGGACGGGUUUGACAAGGGUGAUCCCAGGACAAUGAGAUCUAAGCAGAAAGACCUGGUUUCUCCCCUUUUCCUAACUCCCUCUCUUUUCCUUUUUUCUUCCCUUUUUUCCUUUUUUAUCCGUUUACUUCGUUUCCUUUCGCUUCCUCCCUCCCUCUUUUCCCAUACCUUCAUUUCCUUCCUUCCUUUCCUUUCUACCUUCCCUCCUUUUUUCAUCCAUUUACUUCCUUCCCCAUUAGUUCCUCUCCCUCUCCUCCCAUACUUUCAUUUCCUUCCUUCUUUCCUUCCUUCCUUCCCUGCCUCCCUUCCCUUCUUUCCUUUUUCAUCCAUUUACUUCCUCUCUUCCUUCCCAUACCUUCCUUUCCUCCCUUUUUCCUUUCCUUCCCCUGUCCCUCUCUUCCCAUACCUUCCUUUCCUUCCUUCCUUCCUUCCUUCCCUUUUUCAUCCUUUUACUUCCUAUCCUUUUACUUCCUCCCUCCCUACACCUUCAUAUCCUUCCUUCGUUCUUUCCCCCUCUCCCUUACCUUCAUUUCCUUCCUUCCUCCUCUCCCUUUUCCUUUUUCAUCCAUUUACUUCCUUUCCUUUUACUUCCUCCCUCCCUCCCUCCCCAUACCUUCAUUUCCUUCCUCCGUUCUUUCCCACUCUCCCUUCCUUCCUUCCUCUCUCCCAUUACCUUCAUUUCCUUCCUCCCACUGAAAUGAAUCAGUCAUUUUGUUUAAAUCAGGGAUUAAGCAUAUCACCAACCCUUAUCCGUAGUAUCCUAAGGAGAUCUAUCACCCAGCUAUUUUACCAUAUCAUAUGCAUUAUUCUGUGUGUGUGUGUGAGAGAGAGAGAGAGAAAGAGAGAGGAGGGAGGGAUAUUUAAGAUGAUUCAAAGAUCCUGCAAGAAAAAAAAAGAAGAGCUUUGCAAUGGAGUAUUUUGUUGCGCUCUUCCUCACCAAAUUUCGCAUUUCAUAGGAAAAUGGAAUUGCUGGCGUCAUAUGCCUUUUCCAGCUCCAACUGGCAGCCCCCACCACACCUCGACUGACCAGAGGAGGUGAUGGACCCAAGACCCAAAGGGCAGCCAGAUCCCCUCCAAGGGAGGUUUGGGGUGUGGUGUGUGUGCAACUGUCAAGAUCAAACAGAAAAGGGAU